UGGGGAACAUUGCACAAUGGGGGAAACCCUGAUGCAGCAACGCCGCGUGAAGGAUGAAGGUCUUCGGAUUGUAAACUUCUUUGAUGAGGGACGAAUAAAUGACGGUACCUCAAAAACAAGCCACGGCUAACUACGUGCCAGCAGCCGCGGUAAUACGUAGGUGGCAAGCAUUGUCCGGAAUUAUUGGGCGUAAAGAGCGCGUAGGCGGUUCUUUAGGUCAGAUGUGAAAUCCCGAGGCUCAACCUCGGGCGUGCAUUUGAAACUGGGGGACGUAGAGUGCAGGAGAGGUAAGUGGAAUUCCUAGUGUAGCGGUGAAAUGCGUAGAUAUUGGGAAGAACACCGAUGGCGAAGGCAGCCAUCUGGACCGACACUGACGCUGGGCGGCGAAAGCGUGGGGAGGCAACAGGAUUAGAUACCCUGGUAGUCCACGCCGUAAACGAUGAGUGCUAGACGUCGGGGCUCUUAGAGCUUCGGUGUCGCAGCUAACGCAUUAACG
rnacentral:rRNA from 1 species